GUUCUCGUUGAUGAUCGGUGCUUGCACCGAGAUUCAACAUGGAACGAGUGGCGGACGGGUGAGUAACACGUGGGUAACCUGCCCUUAAGUGGGGGAUAACAUUUGGAAACAGAUGCUAAUACCGCAUAGAUCCAAGAACCGCAUGGUUCUUGGCUGAAAGAUGGCGUAAGCUAUCGCUUUUGGAUGGACCCGCGGCGUAUUAGCUAGUUGGUGAGGUAAUGGCUCACCAAGGCGAUGAUACGUAGCCGAACUGAGAGGUUGAUCGGCCACAUUGGGACUGAGACACGGCCCAAACUCCUACGGGAGGCAGCAGUAGGGAAUCUUCCACAAUGGACGCAAGUCUGAUGGAGCAACGCCGCGUGAGUGAAGAAGGCUUUCGGGUCGUAAAACUCUGUUGUUGGAGAAGAAUGGUCGGCAGAGUAACUGUUGUCGGCGUGACGGUAUCCAACCAGAAAGCCACGGCUAACUACGUGCCAGCAGCCGCGGUAAUACGUAGGUGGCAAGCGUUAUCCGGAUUUAUUGGGCGUAAAGCGAGCGCAGGCGGUUUUUUAAGUCUGAUGUGAAAGCCCUCGGCUUAACCGAGGAAGCGCAUCGGAAACUGGGAAACUUGAGUGCAGAAGAGGACAGUGGAACUCCAUGUGUAGCGGUGAAAUGCGUAGAUAUAUGGAAGAACACCAGUGGCGAAGGCGGCUGUCUGGUCUGUAACUGACGCUGAGGCUCGAAAGCAUGGGUAGCGAACAGGAUUAGAUACCCUGGUAGUCCAUGCCGUAAACGAUGAAUGCUAUGUGUUGGAGGGUUUCCGCCCUUCAGUGCCGCAGCUAACGCAUUAAGCAUUCCGCCUGGGGAGUACGACCGCAAAGGUUGAAACUCAAAGGAAUUGACGGGGGCCCGCACAAGCGGUGGAGCAUGUGGUUUAAUUCGAAGCAACGCGAAGAACCUUACCAGGUCUUGACAUCUUUUGAUCACCUGAGAGAUCAGGUUUCCCCUUCGGGGGCAAAAUGACAGGUGGUGCAUGGUUGUCGUCAGCUCGUGUCGUGAGAUGUUGGGUUAAGUCCCGCAACGAGCGCAACCCUUAUGACUAGUUGCCAGCAUUUAGUUGGGCACUCUAGUAAGACUGCCGGUGACAAACCGGAGGAAGGUGGGGAUGACGUCAAAUCAUCAUGCCCCUUAUGACCUGGGCUACACACGUGCUACAAUGGAUGGUACAACGAGUUGCGAGACCGCGAGGUCAAGCUAAUCUCUUAAAGCCAUUCUCAGUUCGGACUGUAGGCUGCAACUCGCCUACACGAAGUCGGAAUCGCUAGUAAUCGCGGAUCAGCACGCCGCGGUGAAUACGUUCCCGGGCCUUGUACACACCGCCCGUCACACCAUGAGAGUUUGUAACACCCGAAGCCGGUGGCGUAACCCUUUUAGGGAGCGAGCCGUC
rnacentral:rRNA from 1 species